GUAGUAGACUGAGUUUUUGGUGAAUUAGCAGGGAAUUAGAAGGAAUUAGCCUCCACUAGGCUGAAUCGUUAAUUCUUUUGAAAUCUCGCCUUUUUAAAAAUUUCACAUGACAGAGAGCAGAUCCAGGCUUGACUCUUACUUGGAAAAACUGCCCUAACCUGAAAAAACAGUAGGGUAGAAUUCAAGGUUUAAAAAUAAUGGCCAAAAGACUGCAUUUCACUCAAGAUUGCUACAGGCCAUGGACUGUCCUAUAAGUGGAGACUGAGUCAUUUUUUUUUAACAACUUGACAGUGAAGCUUACAUCAGAAAAUAGCCUAGAAAGGCUGAAGUCAUGAAGAGCAGGAAAGAAUAAAGCAAGAAGAAAAGGUCA
rnacentral:lncRNA from 1 species